GCCGGGGUGUCAUUGGCUCUGGGAAGCGGCAGCAGAGGCAGGGACCACUCGGGGUCUGGUGUCGGCACAGCCAUGGCGGGCGCGUUGGUGCGGAAAGCGGCGGACUAUGUCCGAAGCAAGGAUUUCCGGGACUACCUCAUGAGCACUUCUGGGGCCCAGUAGCCAACUGGGGUCUUCCCAUUGCUGCCAUCAAUGAUAUGAAAAAGUCUCCAGAGAUUAUCAGUGGGCGGAUGACAUUUGCCCUCUGUUGCUAUUCUUUGACAUUCAUGAGAUUUGCCUACAAGGUACAGCCUCGGAACUGGCUUCUGUUUGCAUGCCACGCAACAAAUGAAGUAGCCCAGCUCAUCCAGGGAGGGCGGCUUAUCAAACACGAGAUGACUAAAACGGCAUCUGCAUAACAAUGGAAAAGGAAGAACAAGGUCUUGAAGGGACAGCAUUGCCAGCUGCUGCUGAGUCACAGAUUUCAUUAUAAAUAGCCUCCCUAAGGAAAAUACACUGAAUGCUAUUUUUACUAACCAUUCUAUUUUUAUAGAAAUAGCUGAGAGUUUCUAAACCAACUCUCUGCUGCCUUACAAGUAUUAAAUAUUUUACUUCUUUCCAUAAAGAGUAGCUCAAAAUAUGCAAUUAAUUUAAUAAUUUCUGAUGAUGGUUUUAUCUGCAGUAAUAUGUAUAUCAUCUAUUAGAAUUUACUUAAUGAAAAACUGAAGAGAACAAAAUUUGUAACCACUAGCACUUAAGUACUCCUGAUUCUUAACAUUGUCUUUAAUGACCACAAGACAACCAACAGCUGGCCACGUACUUAAAAUUUUGUCCCCACUGUUUAAAAAUGUUACCUGUGUAUUUCCAUGCAGUGUAUAUAUUGAGAUGCUGUAACUUAAUGGCAAUAAAUGAUUUAAAUAUUUGU
rnacentral:lncRNA from 1 species